CCUCCCCGGCCGCUGGGGCGCCGUACGCCUGGCGACUAGCUAUGAUAGGAACCAGUAACAGUCACCAGACCAGAAUUUG
rnacentral:lncRNA from 1 species